UUCUAGCCCGGAUAGAAGCGGUUACCCCGCAACAUGAGUUGGAGAGAAAAAGGGGUUUGGUGAUGGAAAAGCAAUAGAGUGAGGAGUAAUAGCGGAUAGCCGGAAUAAGC
rnacentral:sRNA from 1 species